rnacentral:tRNA from 1 species
GCCUUCGUGGUGUAAUGGUAGCACACUCGGCGAGUAUUCCAGAGGUCCAGGUUCGAGGCCCGGCGAAGGCA